GGUGAGAGCAUGUGGCUCAAUGGUAGAACAUCUGCUUGGCCUGCAAAAGGUUCCAGGUUAAAUUCCUGGCACCUCCA
rnacentral:tRNA from 1 species